rnacentral:misc_RNA from 1 species
UACGGAUACAAACUCGUCAAUUGGGAAAUUUGCUGGAUAAACGGAUUAUUGUUGCGGUUGAUUCAUGGGAUCGUUUGUCCCGAUAUCCAACUGGUCACUAUGUGAGGACUAUUGGUGAAAUAGGUGAUAGGGACACCGAAACAGAGGUGGUACUAAUAGAGAAUGAUAUAGAUGCCAGGCCAUUUUCUGCCCAAGUGUUGGCGUGCUUGCCACCAUUACCUUGGUUGGUGUCUUCUCAAGAUUUGACAAAUCCGAUUAGACAGGAUUUGCGUCACCUGCGUGUAUGUAGUGUGGACCCUCCUGGAUGCAGAGAUAUUGAUGAUGCAUUGCAUUGUAUGCCUCUUUCAAAUGGAAAUUUUGAAGUGGGAGUUCAUAUUGCCGAUGUCACAAAUUUUGUUCAUCCUGGAACUCCACUCGAUGAUGAGGCUUCACAAAGGGGCACUUCUGUAUAUCUUGUAGAGCGUAGAAUCGACAUGCUUCCAAAACCUCUUACAGAAGAUAUUUGUUCACUUCGUUCUGAUGUUGAAAGACUAGCUUUCUCAGUUAUCUGGGAAAUGACACCUGAUGCUGAG